UCCCGCUUAUCACGGGCAGUUCCCCUAAAGUGCCCACCAUAACGUGCUGGCAACCAAGGGUGUGGGUUGCGCUCGUUGCCGGACUUAACCGAACAUCUCACGACACGAGCUGACGACAGCCAUGCAGCACCUGUCCACCUGUCCCCGAAGGGAAAGCCACGUCUCCGUGGCGGUCCAGGCAUGUCAAAAGGUGGUAAGGUUCUGCGCGUUGCU
rnacentral:misc_RNA from 1 species